GGUCCCGUAGUUCAAUGGAUAGAAUAUCAGAUUUCGGCUCUGAGGGUUAGAGGUUCGAGUCCUCUCGGGAUCA
rnacentral:tRNA from 1 species